UACGUAGGGGGCUAGCGUUGUCCGGAAUCAUUGGGCGUAAAGCGCGCGUAGGCGGCCCGGUAAGUCCGCUGUGAAAGUCAAAGGCUCAACCUUUGAAUGUCAGCGGAUACUGCCGGGCUAGAGUCCGGAAGAGGCGAGUGGAACUCCUGGUGUAGCGGUGGAAUGCGCAGAUAUCAGGAAGAACACCAACGGCGAAGGCAGCUCGCUGGGACGGAACUGACGCUAAGGCGCGAAAAGCGUGGGGGAGCGAACAGG
rnacentral:rRNA from 1 species